AUGUGUGUCUGGGCCACUGAAAGCUUGUCGCCCAGGGAGAACUCCCAUGCACACCUGGGAGCCACCGCCCACCGCCGCCGGCCAGCUCUCUCUCCAGGCUCUUCUCGUCUGAACUAGGCAGAUCUCCAGUCCUCAGGCUGGAGACUCCAAACCCGAAGCCGACUGAACCUGCCGCCCAGCAGGCAGCGCGCUCACUUCCGGAGAGGCAGCCACCCAGCCCGGGUCCCCUGGCCCGGCAGCCCGGAAUGACAUCAGCCCCCUGUCUUGGCGAGGGGUGCACAGCCCAGGAAUGCAGGAGGGGCCUCGGGAGGUGGCCGCCCAGGGAGCUGGCGUCAGCCCCAGUUUUUUUUUUUUUGUUUUGUUUUUUUUUCUCCCCCUAAGUCUCAACUCGCUCGCUCGCUGUCCCUCGGGGACUUCAUGUGCCAGACUGCUUACCCACCCCAGGCAGCACCGUGCAGGAACGCGGGUGAAGAGGUGGAUUCACAUGUCGAAGGUCACACAGCAAGAGCACGACCAAGGUGCUCUUGGAAAUGGCCCCCUCCCCAUGGUU
rnacentral:lncRNA from 1 species